rnacentral:misc_RNA from 1 species
UUUACCUCCGGAAACGAACAGGGUUCUCUUACUUGCUUAUUUUCCACAUUCUCCCCAACUGGAGAUGGAGUUGUAUUGCUAUUUAUUUUCAAUUCACGAGACUGAUAAACCAAGCCAGAGGCAUUAAAGUGUCCAUUCACAUGCGGAAAGCCUCCACUGGGAGCAUUAUCUACAGAAGAACUCCUCGAGCAAAGCCCCCCCAUUGC